rnacentral:hammerhead_ribozyme from 1 species
AGACUGCUGAGGAGUCCCAUACCAGGACGAAACGGCCGUCCAGUGC